rnacentral:rRNA from 1 species
UACGGGGGGGGCAAGCGUUGUUCGGAAUUACUGGGCGUAAAGGGCUCGUAGGCGGCCAACUAAGUCAGACGUGAAAUCCCUCGGCUUAACCGGGGAACUGCGUCUGAUACUGGAUGGCUUGAGGUUGGGAGAGGGAUGCGGAAUUCCAGGUGUAGCGGUGAAAUGCGUAGAUAUCGUUUGGAACGCCAACGGUGAAAACAGACAGCUGGGAGUGUGCUGACGCUGAGACACGAAAGCCAGGGGAGCGAACAGG